rnacentral:rRNA from 1 species
UACGGAAGGCAGCAGUGGGGAAUAUUGCACAAUGGGCGAAAGCCUGAUGCAGCUAUGCCGCGUGUAUGAAGAAGGCCUUAGGGUUGUAAAGUACUUUUCAUCGGGGAGGAAAAACAAAACUAAUAAUUUUAUUUCUUGACGUUACCCGAAAAAGAAGCACCGGCUAACUCCGUGCCAGCAGCCGCGGUAAUACGGAGGGUGCUAGCGUUAAUCAGAAUUACUGGGCGUAAAGAGCACGUAGGUGGUUUUUUUAAGUCAGAUGUGAAAUCCCUGGGCUUAACCUGGAACUGCAUUUUGAAACUGAAAUACUAGAGUAUCGUAGAGGGAGGUAGAAUUCUAGGUGUAGCGGUGAAAUGCGUAGAUAUCUGGAGGAAUACCUGUGGCGAAAGCGGCCUCCUAAACGAAUACUGACACUGAGGUGCGAAAGCGUGGGGAGCAAACGAGGGAUUAGAUAC